AGUAAAUAGAUACCCCGGUAGUCCACGCCGUAAACGAUGAGUACUAGGUGUAGGAGGUAUCGACUCCUUCUGUGCCGCAGUUAAACACAAUAAGUACUCCGCCUGGGAAGUACGGUCGCAAGAUUAAAACCCAAAGGAAUUGACGGGGGCCCGCACAAGCAGCGGAGCAUGUGGUUUAAUUCGAAGCAACGCGAAGAACCUUACCUAGACUUGACAUCCCCUGAAUAACGUAGAGAUACGCGAAGCCCUUCGGGCAGGGAGACAGGUGGUGCAUGGUUGUCGUCAGCUCGUGUCGUGAGAUGUUGGGUUAAGUCCCGCAACGAGCGCAACCCUUAUCAUUAGUUGCUACCAUUUAGUUGAGCACUCUAGUGAGACUGCCCGGGUUAACCGGGAGGAAGGCGGGGAUGACGUCAAAUCAUCAUGCCCCUUAUGUCUAGGGCUACACACGUGCUACAAUGGUGAGAACAACGAGAUGCAAUACCGCGAGGUGGAGCAAAACCUUCAAAACUCAUCUCAGUUCGGAUUGUAGGCUGAAACUCGCCUAC
rnacentral:rRNA from 1 species